AUACGUAGGGUGCGAGCGUUGUCCGGAAUUACUGGGCGUAAAGAGCUCGUAGGUGGUUUGUCGCGUCGUCUGUGAAAUUCCGGGGCUUAACUCCGGGCGUGCAGGCGAUACGGGCAUAACUUGAGUACUGUAGGGGAGACUGGAAUUCCUGGUGUAGCGGUGAAAUGCGCAGAUAUCAGGAGGGACACCGGUGGCGAAGGCGGGUCUCUGGGCAGUAACUGACGCUGAGGAGCGAAAGCAUGGGUAGCGAACAGGAUUAGAUACCCUGGUAGUCCAUGCCGUAAACGGUGGGCGCUAGGUGUAGGGGUCUUCCACGACUUCUGUGCCGUAGCUAACGCAUUAAGCGCCCCGCCUGGGGAGUACGGCCGCAAGGCUAAAACUCAAAGGAAUUGACGGGG
rnacentral:rRNA from 1 species